AUUCCAUUGUCAGGGCAUCGUCUCAGUAAUUCUUUAAACCUUUCCCACGCUUCAAACACAGUUUCGGAUUCAAGUUGUCUAAAGUUGUUUAUUUAUUUCCUCAUUCU